rnacentral:rRNA from 1 species
GUUAAAAUAAGUAAGUCUGUUCGACUUUUCAAAAAUUACAUGAUUUGAACUCAAAUCAGUGAAAAACAGAUUGGUUUCUAUCUUUAAUAAGAAAUUUAUUAGUACGAAAGAACCAUAAACAAAAUUAAUUAAUUUCUUAAUGGCAGAAAA